UACGGAGGGGGCUAGCGUUGUUCGGAAUUACUGGGCGUAAAGCGCACGUAGGCGGCUUUGUAAGUUAGAGGUGAAAGCCCGGGGCUCAACCCCGGAAUUGCCUUUAAGACUGCAUCGCUUGAAUCCAGGAGAGGUGAGUGGAAUUCCGAGUGUAGAGGUGAAAUUCGUAGAUAUUCGGAAGAACACCAGUGGCGAAGGCGGCUCACUGGACCGGUAUUGACGCUGAGGUGCGAAAGCGUGGGGAGCAAACAGG
rnacentral:rRNA from 1 species